AUUAGUUUAAUUUAAGUGUAAAAUAUUGUAUUGUGGUUACAAAAAUGGCUUUCCAACUAAUA
rnacentral:tRNA from 1 species